rnacentral:rRNA from 1 species
AAUAGAUACCCGGGUAGUCCACGCCGUAAACGAUGAGUGCUAGGUGUCGGGGGGGUCCACCCCUCGGUGCCGAAGUUAACACAUUAAGCACUCCGCCUGGGGAGUACGGUCGCAAGACUGAAACUCAAAGGAAUUGACGGGGACCCGCACAAGCAGUGGAGUAUGUGGUUUAAUUCGAAGCAACGCGAAGAACCUUACCAGGUCUUGACAUCCCUCUGAAUACGUUAGAGAUAGCGUAGGCCUUCGGGACAGAGGAGACAGGUGGUGCAUGGUUGUCGUCAGCUCGUGUCGUGAGAUGUUGGGUUAAGUCCCGCAACGAGCGCAACCCUUGAGCUUAGUUGCCAGCACGUAAAGGUGGGCACUCUAGGCUGACUGCCGGUGACAAACCGGAGGAAGGCGGGGAUGACGUCAAAUCAUCAUGCCCCUUAUGACCUGGGCUACACACGUACUACAAUGGCCGGUACAAAGGGCAGCGAAGGAGCGAUCUGGAGCCAAUCCCAUCAAAGCCGGUCUCAGUUCGGAUUGCAGGCUGCAAC